rnacentral:lncRNA from 1 species
AUGCCCCAACAAACUACAGAAGAUGUUAAAAUCAUACGAUUUUCAGGAACACCUAAGUGUGUUUACAAAUUCCAUGCAUAUCCACUGGAUUUCUUCAAAACAGAAAGCCAUUGUGAUGCAACACAGAAAUUACUGGAGACCCAGCAUGUGGAUGACAGCAGCAGCACAAAAGGAGCACACCACCUUAACAGCAGGCUUGGAAGGUCUAAUAGAAGAAAUCAAGGUUUUUUGAGAAGAUCAGAGAUAAAACAGCCCAAAUCGUUGCCAGAGAAGACUGGAGUAAAAAUGUGCUUAUGAAGCUAGAGAUUUGACUGUGUGAGCAUAUCUGAAGGCAAAACUAUGUGUAUAGGAACCCUGAAAAUGGAUUUUUAAAAAUUAUUAUAAAUAUGUUUUUAAAGAGUGGAGCAUCAUCUCCCUGUCGUAUUUCCUCAAGGGAUUAAUUAUGUUUUGCCUAAUAAAUUGUGAAGG